GGUGUCUUCUACACACAUCAAACACUUCCUCUUUAUAUCCUGCGCGCAGUUCUUCCCACAGCUUUGGCUAAAGACUAAUUAAUUAAAGUUCAGAUAAACUUUGCACUAUUUUUUCUUCCUUUUUAACUCUUUGAGGAAGUAAAAAAAAGGCAAGGUGGAGAGUGAAGAUGAUUGCUGCAUGUUUUCCCUAUGGUAAAACUCAGUUCAAUAGAAAUUUGAUCAGGGAAAAGGAAAAGAAUUAAACUUUUGAGUACGUCUUUUUUCUUUUCCUUACUUCAUUUUCUUACCUGCAAAAAGGAUAAAUUAAUGUUCUAUAUGAUCGUUUUGCCUACUUCUUUACCUACUAAAUUUGUUACUUUUGGGAUGAUAAUUUGUGAAAUUUUUUUGGGGUAAAUUUAAUAGCUAUGCGUUUGGAUUGAUAUUUAUAUGGGCUGGUAAAUUUAACAACUUAUUAUUUGUUCUAAACAAGUCAAAUAAUAAGACUUUAAUGUUACUAAACUGUUUUCACUGAUAUAGACUCAAUGAUGUAGUGCGUAACAGAAGUGCAGCAGCAGUCUAAACUCUGUCAUUCAGAGGCGCGACAACAGAACAAGUUUUGCUAGGCAAGGGUCCAGUUCACAAGCUUAUUUCAUGAGACAGGUUUCGACAGAAGAGGUGCUUAAAUCUUUUAGACCAUACCUAGCACUUUAUACUUCCUCUAUUAUGUAAAAAGUGGUACAAUAAUAUGAGCUUCUAAAAUAAAACAAAAACACAUUUUUAAUACAUGUAAAUUUAGCAAAUGAGAAUUUCUUUUUGACACGAUUGAAACUAGUUUCCCUACACCUUACUUUACUUUCAAGCUCCUCUGCUUUGGUAUUUGAAGUUUGAAAUGGAGAGGAUCUUUGUCCCAACAGAGGAGGGGGAAUGAGUGGAAAAGAUAUAUUCUGCUCCGAGAAGCCUUUUAGUAAAUAAAUUUUAUCUUCUUAAUUACAUCAAACUAAUAAAUUUAGUUCCAAAAUUAGAUAUAUUACCAUUUUUUUCAAAUACUCGUAACAUUACUCAAUCUCUCUAAAACACAAUCAACGAUAUAUUACGAACUUCAUUUCGCUUUAUGUCUGGCUAAAAUAAAAAAGUGCAUCUCGGAGGAUGCAUAAACUAUGAACCAUGCAGAACAAAAAUAAUGUUGUUACAACUAUAAUAAGUGUUCAAUAUAACUAGGCUAAUUGUGUAUUUGUUCUUCAUAUUCUUAAUGAAUGAAUGUGUCAUACAAUUUAUUAUAUUUGGGUGCAUCUAUUCUGUGUGAGAUAGAGAUAUGGGAACAAAGAAAGAAUUCAAUUUUGAAAGAGAGUGGCAUAGAGUAGGUGAUUCCAAGUAUCAGGAACUCCAGGAAGACACCAAUGGCUACAGUCCAUGCCACGGCGCCCUUCGUAGCCAUAGCUUGAAGGGUGGCCAUCUUUCCUUAAUUGCGAUAAAGUUGUUAUGUUGAGUAGAUUAACCCGGAUUGACAUUUUGCUCAACACCCUUUCUAAUACAAUUUCUGCUGGAUGUGGACCUCCUUUGUACUUGUUCCUCCCCAAGAAUGGUUGCCUUUGCCCAUUGCAAUUCUUCCAACUUGGUUCUGCCCAGUCUCUAUAUAUAUACCAUUGAUUUAUAAAUUUACUAGCUCUAACACAUGCUUAUGAUCAAAAUUUAACAAAAUUCAGAUCCUGGCAGCAGCAUGCAUAUAUAUGUUAAUUUACUACUUACUUCAAAUGAUCUGGAGAAACACCUUGGAAAAAGACCUUGGUUUUUGUUUGGUCUAUAUUGGUGUCUAUCCAUCUAGCUCACAUAGUCAACGCUUUCUCAUAAGCUACUAAUCGAUCCAUAUCUUUGUAAAUUUUAUUUGCAUCUUCAAUAAAAUCCCAUCUGCAAAACAAACGACAUAUUCAUUAUUUUGCAAAUGAAUUCGAUUCUUUUUUAAUUGGAGAGAAGGAGUAACUUAUUACAAGUGAAAUUAAAGGUAUUUGAGUAAGAAUAUUGAAGAAAUAUUGAAGAACAAAUACUACUAGCUUAGCUAGUAGUGUCGGUAGAGGAGUGAUAUAUAUAUAUAUAUAUACACACGUACGGUUGUUGCCUUUCUGUAAGAAGCCACCAGUGCCAUGUGUUGAAAAUCAAGGUAUGAAUUCCUUUCCAUGUGCUUCCAAUCUUAAUUGAAUCAAGCUUUAAAACAGUACUCCCUCUAUUCUCGCUUUCAAGGUCAACCAGAAACGCAUUCCGUUGUAGCAUCACAGACACAUCGUAACUCUAAAAUUUUCAUCAUACAUACGUACACAAGUUUAUUUAAUUAAUUUGUUGGAAUAUAUAUAUACACACUAACAGAUGAAUUAAUAAUUGCAUUUCUUCUUAUUUUUCAUGUUCUCUAGGUUGAUCAAAACACUAUAUACACUCCAAUUUAAGUAACAUAAUAAAAAUUUCUACAUAAUAAAUCGACAUCUGCGGACGGUAAAAAAAAAUACAUGCAUCAUUCGCUAUUAAUAGUAAUGGACACUAAUUACAACAAGAGUUUAGCAUGACCAAUAAAGGUUCAAGAUUUAUUAACUACGGUUUAGGAUUUAGUAACGGACGUCGAAUUUUAAUUUCUAAUUCUUACCGUUACUUCUUCUUUUCAAUGGUAUAGGUGGUGUAUGCCCUAUAAGUAUCCAUAGCAAAUAUAUAUAUGGUAUGAAUCAUUACUAUAUAUAUAUAUAUAUAUAUAUAUAUAUAUAUAUAUAUAUNNNNNNNNNNNNNNNNNNNNNNNNNNNNNNNNNNNNNNNNNNNNNNNNNNNNNNNNNNNNNNNNNNNNNNNNNNNNNNNNNNNNNNNNNNNNNNNNNNNNAUUGUUUUAGUAUUAUUGUAAUAAUCCGAAUUUUCGUUAAUAAUAAAUACUAAUUUGAUUUUCCUAAACGCAUAAUUGAAUUGAAAAAGGUAAGUCACAAUUUUUUUUAUUUCACUUGGAUCGGAAAGCUAAAUUCUUUUAGUAAAUAAUUAAGUUAAUUAAAAGUAAGGAGUACUUCAUUAGAGUUUUGUUAACUCCUAUUGUUCCUUGUUAUAUUUAAAGAGUGUUAGAUGAAACCCUUAUGUUAUUCUAAUUUCAUUAGUUGAAUUCCCGUGAAAAAUUCUCAUGUACACUAUAACCUAUUAGAAAAAUCAUAAUAAAUUCAUUCGAUAUCGGAAUUGAGUGAAUGCAAAACUUGUUUCUUUAGUUUUUUGUUCUCGACAAGUUUGAAGAGAAAGAGAAGUUAUUUGGCGUUAUCUUCAUGUCUUAAAUUGUUGAAAACCACAACCUGUUUUGAUUCCCGUCACUAUUUAAUUUCAUCCCUAAUUUUAAAAUUUUGUAACUCAUUCAUAUUAACUCUAAAUCGAGUGAUUCUUGAGCUUAUUUUCUAUAUUUUUCAAGAGCUACCAUUUCUACGAGGACAAGAAGAGAUUUUGAAGACUCUACAAGACCCAAAAUUCAGAUUUUUUAUUGUUGCGUAUUGAAAAAAGACGAACAAGUAAGAUAAAUAUUAUUUUGUAUUAUACUUUUAAAAUAUUUAUAUGCGGAUUUUAUACAAGGGAUUAUAUAAUUUAAUUGAAUGAAAACAUUAAAAUUUGAAAAUCAGUUUCUAUAUUUUAAGGUCUAUUGCAUGGGUUAUAUCUCUUAAUUUGACCAUUGGAUCACUAUAUUUUUUUGGAUAUGUUCUCAAAAUUUGAACCGUUAAAGAUUAAUGCAUUAUUUGUUAUGAAUUUUAAGAAUGAUUGAUCAGGAAUUUGUAUAACAGAUUUUCAGCAAUAUGAGUGCUAAUAUUUAAAAAGGGAUAAUUUGAUGAUUUUAAAUCCGAUAGGAGUAAUUCUUGAAGCUAAAUUAGAGUAUUUAAAGUCUAGUUUCUGUUAAACUAAUUUAAUUUGAAAAAUAAUCAUAAAGCCAAAUUGUUAUGAUCGAUACAAUGGACUAAGAUCUUAAAAAUAAUUUGUCAUAUUAGGGUUUUAAGAUUUCUUAACUUUUGCUUUUAAUUUUUAUACUUUGGGGUAUUAAUAAAUGAUCUAAGGCGAAUAAUUAAAGACACAUUAAAUAGGUUAAAAUUAUUUUAGAAUUAUUAGUUUGAAUUGUAUAUUUAAUUUGGGGUGAAUAUGUCUAGGUGGUAAUUAAGAUUUCGUAUUGGAUAUCGUUGAUGUUGGAGGUUAUGAUUUUGCGGGGUGUGAAAUAAUUGAAUUUGAUUAUCAGGUACAUGUUUUGUAUUUUGUCUCUUUAUUGUUGUUGAAAGUAGUAUGCACACAAGUCAAUCAUAUUUGAUAUGAUAAAGCAUAUACUUUGUAACGAUCUUAUUCAUUUAUUAAAGGCUUUAAUUAUCUACAUGGUGUUGUUAUAUUUAAAAUGCGAUAAAUUCAUAGUUUUAAUCAAUGCUUUUAGAAUCAUGAUGAUAUUAUGAUCAUGUUAAUGGGAUCUAAAUUCUUUGAUAGCUUAAAACAAAAAUUAUUUCCAAUCAUUGGAUUACUAAAAGGGGGAUUAGUGAAUCCAGAUAGAUUGGUACAAACGUUACUUGAUCAUUGGAUGAGGAUGAAUGAUCUCAUAAUCAUUUGUGUGGAGACACUGAUGCAAGUAUGUAGGUGCUUAUUGAAGAAUAAGUACACUGAACGUGGUUCGCUAAGUAAUACCUAAUGGAGUUUUACUCGCCUGUUAAUAAGAAUUCCUCUAGUGAUAGUAGUACAAGUGAUCCUAAGACUUGAGAUCAUCAUAAUAUCUUGUGUAUGAUAAGUUAUACUUUGAUAUGUCCCUUAAGACUUAGGAUAUAUCAAAGGGUAUGCUUUGGUAUAAUAAGUUGUGCAUGAAGAUAAUGAAUGAUCAAUAAAGAAUCUACUGCUUCUAGUAAAAGAAGAGUAUGACAUAUGUGAUUCGAUAAAUAAAAACUCAGAAAUCCUUGGCUAAUUGGUAAAAUGAAAUUAGAAAGGAGUUUCUAAUUUGCAUUAUCAAAGUUUGUACAUUUGAGAAUCGAAAUACAUAUAAUUAAACUAAAUAAGACUUGCCAGUACUUUCAUGUCUUAUAUUUAAUUAGGACAUUGUAUGGUAGAAUGAUUGAAUUGUACGGUAACUAUUAACUCAAAGAUUCUUUUAUGAUUAAUGUUGAAAUCUAUAUUAUCUAGAAAUUCGUUGAUUGCUAAAGAGGUUUAUCCUUACUGUAGAAUAAAUGUUAUUUAUUUAAAUGAAUUAAUAGUUUAACUUAUUUAUUUCAAUAAGAUUAUAAUUGUUCUAAUUGAUUUAUUCAGAACCGAUUUAAUAUGGAGAACUUAAAGGGUCACACCAUAAAAGGGAAAAAAAUAUUUAAGAAGUAAAUGACAUAAUCGUAAUAAUAAGUUAAGUAUAUUUAGUUUAAUCUGUAAGACCCCAACUUAUUAUAAAUAAAAUCAAAUUUUCUCUAAUUAUUAUUGUGAAUAAUAAGGUGUUAAUUUGAUAUAAUGCUUUGGUUAUGGGUGAAAUGUGCAAAUUUUGCAAAAUAAGCAAGUGGUUAUAAAAUAUUCAUUGUUGUCGGGGAAUAUUCAUUUGGUCGUGGAAUAUUCUUUCUGUCGGGAAAUAUUCGUACGACGGCGCAACCAUUUGUGGGCCCCAUAUCGGAUAACGGUCGGAUGAAGAAAACGACAAAUUUGAAUUUUUAUAAAUAACGGCGUAGUUAUUACGGUUAACACUGUUGGAAUACCCGAUGAUUAAAAUACAGUAAUACGCGUGACUGCACAGUAGCACACGAUUUUGCACAGUAUUGUUGAAUUAUUGAUUCUUACGUAAGAAGACACUACUCAAUAAUUGUUACAGUAAUUACUGUUCAAUAUUUUAUUUUUUAUUGAUUCAAUAAUUGUUGCGUUGAUAUUUUAUAUUAUUGUUGUUUUAAUAAUUGUCACUGCACAGUAUUUCCCAUUAUCAGAUCAAUAAUUCAUAUUAUUUGAAUAAUAUUAUUAGAUAGCAUUAUUGGCAAUGUCUAAAAAGUUCUGUCAAGGAGAGGUUUGGUCACCUAAUUGCGCGCCAGUAAGGAGAAAUCCUUAUCGGAAAGCCCCCUCUUUCCUGGGAACUGCCUGGUUGCCAUUAUUGUGAUUCUGUAAUAUUAUUUGUGAAUAAUUAAUUAUUGAUUUAUAUGAUAAGAAAAUAUUUAUUUGAUGUGGAUAUAAAUGAUGGAUUUAUUUAUGUGGUUAUAAAUGAAGGAAUUAAUGCUGAGGUGUUUUAUCAGUAUUUUAUCGGAGUGGAGGUAUUAAAAAUCACCCGUUUAUGGAUUUUGGAUAUUUUAUGUUUAGAAUUUGGAAAAACUUUCUUCUGCAAAGUUGUAUAGAAUUCGAUUUCGUGUGGAAUGGACAUAAAAUUUGUAUUUUCCUGAUAAACGAGCUAUUUUCUAUGAAUUACUGAAGUUUCGAAAAAUAAAAUAUUUUUUAUUAAAAUUGGGUGGGACCCACUUUUGAUUUUCUAAAACAUGGGCUGCUGAAAUUUUUUCAUAAUUGGCAGGCUGGUGGCUGGUCUUGGUUGGUGCGUAGAAUUGAUUUUAGAAAUAAUAUUAUUUUAUUAUUUUAGUCUCCUUUGGCGUUCUAGCAUUUUCCUAUAAAUAGGCGCUUAUGUUAAAAUUGAAAAUCAUACCAGAAACAAGUUUUUUUUCUCUCUAGAUUAUCGAGCGUAUUUUUGUGAGUAUUUUGAUACUUUGAGAGUUGCUAUUCAAUACAUGUUUCUGUCAGUACUAUAUCCAAAAUUCAGACAGAAGUACGGUUAUUUUGAGGUAAGGGAUGUUAUUUUUUUCGUAAAUGAUAUUAUUUCUUUCGAUAUCAUUAUGCCAAAAUAUUGGUCUGAACUUUUUAUCAAAUUUGAAAAUUUUUGUGUCGGAGUUACUAUUCACGUAUACGGCACUAUUCACGUAUACGAUACUAUUCACGAAUACGACACUAUUCAUCAAAAAAUAAAAUUUUCUCCUUUUUGUCCAAGAUGUCUAUUAUGGUUACUAUCUUUGAUUGUAUCCAUGUUUUGAUCUUUAUUCUUGAAUUUUUGCUUUAAAAUUGGUUAUUAUGGAGUAUUAUUGAUCUUGAAUAAACUGUUAUACGAAUCCCUACUAUUUAUCCUUCUGUCUCACUGGAUUUGUUUUUUUUAAAAUAUUUUUCAUCAUCCUCAGUCCUAAAUGAUGAUAUUACUGAAUAUAUUUGGCCUGUAGUGCAAAGAUGAAUGAUUAACUGAUGAAUAUCUUUGGCCCGUAGUGCAAAGAUGAACAGGUGUUGAGAUGAACAUGACCAACUGGUGAUACAAAUGAAUAUCUUUGGCCUGUAGUGCAAAGAUGAAUAUUUGAUUCAAGAUGUAUAUUGAUUGAUGUUACAGGGAUAAAAUAUUGAUGAUGGACUUUUAAAUCUUAGAAGAUAGUAGAAUUCAUUCUCUACUUGACUCUUCUAAUGGAUUGUUGUUUCCGCUGCAGUUGUUGAUCUAAAACUUGUUGUCUAUUAUAUUUUAUCAGAUUUUUCCCUGUUGAAGACUAAUGAUAAUUUGUUGUAUAUUAUCUUAGUCAUAAUAUUCUUUACUGGGCUAGUUGAGCUCACCCUUUUCCUUUUUGUUCCAUUUUUCUUCUCAGGAGGUGAGAAAUAGCAGGAUCUAGUCGGGGUAUGGAGUUAUGAUUCUAGAAAAGAUGUUUUAGCAGUCCUCACUAUUUCUGUAAAAUAGUGUUUGAAUAAUUGUAAUGAGGACUUAUUUGAGUGUGGAUAUUGUCUAGAAGACAAUAUUUGUAUUUAAACUCACAGUAUGUGUUGUCGUAUUUUGCACGACAAUUGUAUUAUUGAAGUUGUAGUUUGCUUUAUGUACCAUAUAUUUGACGACUCAGAAUGGGUGUUGUAUACCUAUUUUGGAGGCGUCACAUAAUCUAUGAUGAUAGAAUAAAUUAAAUAGCUU
rnacentral:lncRNA from 1 species